rnacentral:lncRNA from 1 species
GCAAGCGUUCGCGUGCCUACACACACACACACACACACACACACACACAUGCACACUCACACAUCGGUUUUCUGAAGCUGCCUCCCCCACACCCUACUUGGCACCACCCCUGUCUUCAGAUGACUCGGUUUCACCAUGACUACCCCAUAAAAUCCGGGAACUGCCAAAGACUUGGAAAAUAGGCACAUUCAGUCCCUGAGGACUUAAACUUUCUCAUUUCCAAAAGAAAAUUAUUUAUGUCCAACCCAUGAAUCAGAUACCAAGGGAUGUUUUUCAAAUUCCUAGCCCAGGAUGACAUCCAAGAAGGAAGGGAGG